ACUUGGCCACAACUCACGUACAUGCAUUUGGACACUUAGUCAGGAUGGCGCAGUUCCACUUGCUGGACCCUCACUACGACGAGCACCACAGGGGCCGUCUCACCGCAGAGGGAGAGGUGUUGCCCGUUCUACGGGUCCGGACCCACGACCGGUUUCUGGAGGAGAUGAGGUACGAUGAGAGGUACACUCCUCUCCUACAGAGGGCU